GGGCCAGUAGCUCAGUGGUAGAGCGCUACUCUUAUAAAGUAGAUGUCCUUGGUCCGAAUCCAAGCUGGCCCACAA
rnacentral:tRNA from 2 species